rnacentral:rRNA from 1 species
AUUGAACGCUGGCGGCAGGCCUAACACAUGCAAGUCGAGCGAGCAGCGGACGGGUGAGACUUGUAUGGGGAAUGCCACAUAGAGGGGGAUAAAUCCUGGAAACGGGGGAGAAUACAGCAUACGACCUGCGAACCCAUAUGGGAUUAGCUCGGAGGUAAGGGAAUGGCUUACCUAGACUACUAGACCUAGCUGGUAUGAGGGGAUGCUCAGCCACACUGGUACUGAUACACGGCCCCGACUCCUACGGAGGCAUCAGUGGGGAAUAUUGCACAAUGGGCGCAAGCCUGAUGCAGCCAUGCCGCGUGUAUGAAGAAGGCCCUAUGGUUGUAAAGUACUUUCAGUCGGGAGGCGUUACCGACAGAAGACGCACCGGCUAACUCCGUGCCAGCAGCCGCGGUAAUAC